GACGAACGCUGGCGGCGUGCUUAACACAUGCAAGUCGAACGGAAAGGCCCCUUUGGGGGUACUCGAGUGGCGAACGGGGGAGUAACACGUGAGUAACCUGCCCUUGACUUCGGGAUAACUUCAGGAAACUGGGGCUAAUACCGGAUAGGAAUCCUUGCUGCAUGGUGGGGGUUGGAAAGCUUCGGCGGUUUUGGAUGGACUCGCUGCUUAUCAGCGUGUUGGUUGGGUAGUGGCUUACCAAGGCUUUGACGGGUAGCCGGCCUGAGAGGGCGACCGGCCACAUUGGGACUGAGAUACGGCCCAGACUCCUACGGGAGGCAGCAGUGGGGAAUAUUGCACAAUGGGCGGAAGCCUGAUGCAGCAACGCCGCGUGCGGGAUGACGGCCUUCGGGUUGUAAACCGCUUUCAGCAGGGGCGAAGCUUGUGGUGACGGUACCUGCAGAAGAAGCACCGGCUAACUACGUG
rnacentral:rRNA from 1 species